CCCUUAGAUGUCCCGGGCCGCACGCGCGCUACACUGAGUGUCUGAGAUACGAGUCUGCCUGGUCCGGCAAGGUCUAGGUAAUCGCUAAAAGACACAUCAUGCUUGGGAUAGAUUAUUGCAAAUAUUAAUCUUGAACGAGGAAUUCCUAGUAAGCGCAAGUCAACAGCUUGCGUUUAUUACGUCCCUGCCCUUUGUACACACCGCCCGUCGCUACUACUGAUUGGAUGUUUAAGCGAGGUUCUCGAACUGCUAGCGACUUAGCUUCGGUGAGGUCGCAGUGUGGGAAGUGAACCUAGCUUUGGUGUCUAGAGGAAGUAAAAGUCGUAACA
rnacentral:rRNA from 1 species